rnacentral:rRNA from 1 species
GAUGAACGCUAGCGGCAGGCCUAACACAUGCAAGUCGAGGGGCAGCACAGAAACAGCAAUGUUUUGGUGGCGACCGGCGGACGGGUGCGUAACGCGUAUGCAACCUACCUUUAACAGGGGGAUAACGGAGAGAAAUUUCCACUAAUACCCCAUAACAUCGAACAAGGCAUCUUGAUUGGUUGAAAACUCCGGUGGGGAAAGAUGGGCAUGCGUUGUAUUAGGUAGUUGGUGAGGUAAUGGCUCACCAAGCCUACCAUACAUAGGGGGACUGAGAGGUUAGCCCGCCACCCUGGUACUGAGACACGGACCAGACUCCUACGGGAGGCAGCAGUGAGGAAUAUUGGUCAAUGGGGGCAACCCUGAACCAGCCAUGCCGCGUGCAGGAAGACGGCUCUAUGAGUUGUAAACUGCUUUUAAACAGGGAUAAAGCACAGUAUGUAUACUGUGUUGAAGGUACUGUAAGAAUAAUGAUCGGCUAACUCCGUGCCAGCCGCCGCCGUAA